AUGCAACCCCCCUCUCAGGCCCUAGGGGAGGGCGUCGGGGGACCGCGCCAGGCGGCCCCAGAGACCUAUCGGCGGCGGCGGCGCCCGGCCCCUGCGCAGUGACCUCUCGCAGUUGGGCCUGACGCCACGCCGGCCUAGCCACCAGGCCGAGAGGCCCAAG
rnacentral:misc_RNA from 1 species